CACGUAGUUAGCCGGCGCUUCUUCCCCACCUACCGUCACCCGAAGGCUUCGUCGGUGGUGAAAGGGUUUACAACCCGAAGGCCUUCAUCCCCCACGCGGCGUCGCUGCGUCAGGCUUUCGCCCAUUGCGCAAGAUUCCCCACUGCUGCCUCCCGUAGGAGUCUGGGCCGUGUCUCAGUCCCAGUGUGGCCGAUCACCCUCUCAGGCCGGCUACCCGUCGUCGCCUUGGUAGGCCGUUACCCCACCAACUAGCUGAUAGGCCGCAAGCCCCUCCUCGACCGGAACCCCACCUCGCGGCGGAGAACCUUUCUGCCAAUCGGGAUGCCCCGACUGGCAAGUAUCCGGUAUUAGCCCCAGUUUCCCGGGGUUAUCCCGGUGUCGAGGGCAGGUUGCUCACGUGUUACUCACCCGUUCGCCGCUCGGAUACCUCCCCGAAGGGUAGGCUCCUCGCUCGACUUGCAUGUGUGAGGCGCGCCGCCAGCGUCGUCCUGAGCCACGGUAUCAAACCGUAC
rnacentral:rRNA from 1 species